CCCCUUUUUAAAAUUCUCCAUAUUUUUUUCCUAUAUAGAGGGGGAUUCCCUUUCCAUAAAACAAUAGAGAAUAUCCAUAUCUGAACUAGUGGGGGUCCCAAAGUUUUCCCCAAACAACUGGAAACCAAUUUCCACUUUUUUUUUAAAUGCCUUAUAUUUCUUUUCUAUGCGGAUUUUCCCUUGGUAGAACAACAGGGAAUCCAGUCUGAUCCAGUCAUAGAUAUCUUAUAUAAACUAGAUAGCGCAUCUCUUUUAGUAAAAUUGAAGCCAAGAAUAUUCCAGCGGUUACCUCCAUUUGAAUAGAUGGCGGCCAUGUUGAAGUUUCCCACUCACUAAUAAACGCAUGUAAUCGGUCACUGAAAAACCCCGUUGGAGAGUGAGCCGAAUAAUAUAUGUAUGAUGCAAUUGGUCACGGUUAUGCUAAUAAACCUGCAUCUUAGGCUACGUUUCCACUAUACCCG